rnacentral:lncRNA from 1 species
UUCUAUUAUGUUUAUGGAUGGAAUGUAAUUAUGUGUUAAAUUACGUAUCAUGCUCUAUGAAUUAUUAAAAGUCAAAAUAUGACUAAGUUAAUUGGGUUAUGGAACUCAAUCUAUAUGUGAUUACAUGUUGUAUGAUGUAACUUAAUAAAUUAGAAAUGUAUAAUGCACGAAUGAAUGUUUUGUAAGGAAUUAUUGAUGCAUGUAGUAUAUGCAUAGUAAAGAAUAUAUGAUGCAUGCUGAUAUGCAUAUUAAAGGAAAUGUAGUGCAUAUGGAAUUGUGUGCUAUGUGAAACAUGAUAGACUGUUAAAUUUGCUGGGCUGUCGAGCUCAAUCUUGCAAACAUAAACUUUUUGCAGGUUAAUGACGUUAGACAAUAUUAUUUACUAUGCGGAUGAUGAAGA